ACUCAUUCCUUUUUUUUCCUUUCUCUCCCACUGUCAGACAGCAUGGCCUGUACCGUGCAUUCCUUCCUUUGGAGAAAUGACGGUAGGUUUCCACAUCUGUGUAGUAUCUCCUGCUCUGGAGAUCACCCUGAGCCCUUGCAUCUCCUACCAGGUCAGAGUGGGGAGCUGGUGUUAGCUGUGGGAUUCACUGCAGCGUCCUACCACAAAGGCAAAGAAGAUGAAAAUGCAGCGUGCAGUGCUGGGCUUGAUUCCCAAGUCGCAGUCGGGCUCCCGCUAUGGGUAGGAGGCUUUACACUCAGCCUGGGUCAGCACCGGAGCAUCCAGGCACUUCAGCUCGUCUGGGUAGUCAGCUGUGAGGAUCAGGAAGAGAUCAAAGAAAGUAGAAAUGUGGGUGAGGCCAGAGAAGGAGACAAUAAUCUGGGAUGGAACAUUGAAGAGGAACACUGCCUCUGGAGAGGACUCCAAAACGUGGUUGAGUUUCUGCAGGAUAUGC
rnacentral:lncRNA from 1 species